AGCUCCAAUAGCGUAUAUUAAAGUAGUUGCGGUUAAAAAGCUCGCAGUUGGAUUUCUGCCGAGGACGACUGGUCCGCCCUCUGGGUGAACAACUAGGUCGGCCCGGGCAUCUUCUUGGAGAACGUAGCUGCGCUUGAUUGUAUGGUGCGGUAUCCAGGACUUUUACCUUGAGGAAAUUCGAGUGUUUCAAGCAGGCACACGCUUUGACUAGUGCGAAAGCAUUUGCCAAGGACGUGCUCA
rnacentral:rRNA from 1 species